GCCCAGUGAUGAUACCAAGGCAAAUAUGAGUUGAUUGAUCAAGAGGCUGGUGUUCUGGCCUCCUGAUUGAUGGGUAAUCUUGGUAGGGUAGUGGAGAAUGGCUGCCCUGCUGUAAGGGCCCACCCACAGUAAAGCAGCACCAUCCCUAACACUCCCUGUAGAGACAUGGAGGAGGAGGUGAUCAGGUGCUAACAGAGUGAAUGUGCUGUCUGUCUGUUGUGAGUCUGUAGUAUGUGUGUGUCUGUGUCAGGAGGCUGGGAACGCCUGACUCUGUCUGUCAAUCUGCUGUGAGCGGCUUCUUUGGUAAUCUGAGGGCA